GACGAACGCUGGCGGCGUGCCUAAUACAUGCAAGUAGAACGCUGAAGCGAGGAGCUUGCUCUUCUUGGAUGAGUUGCGAACGGGUGAGUAACGCGUAGGUAACCUGCCUGGUAGCGGGGGAUAACUAUUGGAAACGAUAGCUAAUACCGCAUAAAAUGGAUUAUCGCAUGAUAAUCCAUUGAAAGGUGCAAAUGCAUCACUACCAGAUGGACCUGCGUUGUAUUAGCUAGUUGGUGGGGUAACGGCUCACCAAGGCGACGAUACAUAGCCGACCUGAGAGGGUGAUCGGCCACACUGGGACUGAGACACGGCCCAGACUCCUACGGGAGGCAGCAGUAGGGAAUCUUCGGCAAUGGACGGAAGUCUGACCGAGCAACGCCGCGUGAGUGAAGAAGGUUUUCGGAUCGUAAAGCUCUGUUGUAAGAGAAGAACGAGUGUGAGAGUGGAAAGUUCACACUGUGACGGUAGCUUACCAGAAAGGGACGGCUAACUACGUG
rnacentral:rRNA from 1 species